UUUCAAAACAAGUUCGGACAAAAACGAAACAUAACAUAAAAUAGGGAUUUCUACCUCUGACAGUCUCCAUUUGGAGUACUAAAUAGGGUCAACUUUGAGACAAGAUGUUGACUUCAAUGCUCUGUUCAAGAAGCUGGGUCACCAUCUGGAUGAGAUUCGUGUUCGAGCCUUGGAGAAUAUUCUUUCCAAGUUAGAGCACAAGCUUAUAUGUGACUCUGAUCUUGUCCAAGAAUGCCACUUGUUUAUUCGCCUCCUUGAAUGGUUCAACUACCCGAAAUAUUCCCGGCAUUCAGAUGUCCUCAAUCUACUCUGCAGGCUUUCAGAGCACACAUCUGGUGCAGAAACCUUGCAAGACAUUGGUGCUAUUGAGUUUCUUACCAGUCUGCGAAAAUAUGUGACGUCGGCUCUGCAACCAGUUGUUGAUCAGGUGCUUGAAAACUGCAUGCGCCUGCCUGACGUUGAUAUUGGAUUGGACCAUGCUCCAGAGUGUAUCUAUCAGAGACACAAUCAUACAGGAAUGACAGCGGGUGCAGAAACCACUGUGGAUACGAUAGCAACCCGUCAUAUCCAGGAUUAUUCCCUCGCCCCUAGCACCAAUGCCCCUUCUGAGCAUGGAGCCAGACUACCAGAUUACAGGGAACCACCUUUAGGGUUCUUUGAGGCGGGUCAGGGAGAUAUGGGGCAACAGCCUACUACAUCAGGGCCCGGGGGUCACCCACAGAAGCUGAUCUGG